AGCUCGGUGUCCACCCUGAUUUUAUGUUUCUGAACCUCCAGGGCUAUAUUGUAGCAAGCAGACGGCUCCGUCUGGUCGUUGACUUGAGCAGUUUUAGUUUGGGGAUAACUGGUGAGUGGUAUAGGUUGAGGCCUUCAUAUGUGGCGAGGGCCUCACUGUUUGCUUCUCUCCAAAAAAACGACCUCGUCAGCACUUGCUUCGCUGAAAAGAGCGCCAGCGACAAAGUACAAGAGAAAAGUUGACGCUGCUGACCUUUCUGUUGCUUUCAUUUUUCAUGUAAAUUACAACGCGCAUAGGAAAAUAGGGCUGAUCUAGGAUUGGUUAGAUGACGUCUCUCUUAUUUAUAUCAACAGAGUUGGGAAAUAUCACGGUCUGGAUUAAGAUUUCAUUUAUAAUAUUUGAGACAUAAAUUUUUAUUUUGUUAAUGAUACAAUCAUUCGAGUAUUAAAAAAAAAUUUAUUUAUUUUAUAUUUUAUUAGUAAUUAUAAAUAGUAAAAACAUUUAUAAUUCAUUUUUCUAACAAUUUUUAAAAACAUUAAACAUAUUGUAGUUACCUAUUUUGAAUAUUUAUUAUGAACAUUUGUUAAUAACACUAGUUUACAAUAGUUAAUUAUUUAAAUUGACACAAAAACACCUAAUAUUAACACACGUAUAUGAAACUUAUCAAAAUAUCAGAUGAAUAUUUUUAACAAGAUAUUAUUUGGGUUUAACAAAUAGUUAUUUGAAUGAAUUCCAUUUUAGUUAAUACUAGCAGUUAUUAUAAAAAGGUUAGACAAACGUAGAUUUCAUACAAUCUUUUUUUUCUAAAAGUUGACAUGAAUUCAAAUUAGUUUACUUGACUUAUUAAAACAAUUGAUAAAUAUAUAAUACAUGAUCUGAUAAUGCUUGCACAUCUUUUAAGUUUUACUUUUCUUGGAAAAUGUGUUGUAAGGGAAUACAUAAUAUUGUCGUUAUGGUCAGGUCAAAAUUUAUGAUAUAAUUGUAUUAAAGAGUUAAUAUGCAACAAUUA